UACGUAGGCAGCGAGCGUUGUUCGGAAUUACUGGGCGUAAAGAGUGUGUAGGCGGUGCUCUAAGUUCGGUGUGAAAUCUCCUGGCUUAACUGGGAGGGUGCGCCGGAAACUGGGGUGCUCGAGCGUGGGAGAGGAAAGCGGAAUUCCUGGUGUAGCGGUGAAAUGCGUAGAUAUCAGGAGGAACACCUGUGGUGAAGCCAGCUUUCUGGACCAUUACUGACGAUGAGACACGAAAGCGUGGGUAGCAAACAGG
rnacentral:rRNA from 1 species